UAAAUCCCACCAAUCAUUCUGUACUCUAGGAGGUUUAGGUGGUUGAUUGCUAAUAUGAGAAUGUAGGGUCAUGCUAGCUACUGAUUUUAGCUCAGGAAUUUGUAAUUUUGAAGGUAUAUUGGUGCCCAUAUAUCAUAUGCACUACAUAUAUUCAUUGUCAAAGAAAGGUGAUGGUUUUUCUGUAAAUUUAUCAUGUCCUCAGAGCUGACGUUGAGAUGAUACAUCUGUAAAUAUUGUUUCGAUAACUUGAUGUCUUCAAUUGCAAGGAAUUAUGAAAACUCUUGUGUGCUUAUUAUGAUGCUAUAACAUAUCAUGCCUUGAAAAUUUACACUCUAAUGGAAGUGAUUGCAAGGUUAAAUCCAUAGACUAGAAGCAAGAAAAGAAAACUAAUGAGAUGGACGAGUUGAAGAGUGACAAAGUUAGGGAGAUUUUUUUUCAUAGUUUCAUUUCGGAGGUAAAACUCACCAUCUUUUCGCAUUCUUUCUAAUGUUGGCUAUUAUAUAAACCUGUGAAAAGUUGUAGAUAACAUUGUCAUGUCAUGUAACACUAUUUAAUAAAAAACAGUGAUCAGUAUUUAUACUUACAAAAGUACAAAAAUGAAGAUUGGACAGGUUCUCUUUGUUAUUUUAUAGUUCAACCUUUUUGCCAAACAUUUAUAAUUCACUAGGCUGUUGGCCAUUUUCCGACUUUAUAAUUACAUUAAAGGAAGCCAGCCAUGGGCAGUCUUUAUAUGGGGAUUUUUCGGCUCCAUCCUUUUCUGUCUCUGUGUUUUUUGGAAGACCCAAGGGUGGAGGAAAUGGGGGCAUGUUUGUUAACAAGCCAGAGUUUGAGGGCUAGAUGAUGCACUUUUGACCUGUGAAAAGUUGUGUGAGUCAGCUAUUGAGUACAUCUGAAUAUUAAAUUAGAGUUGUGAUUCGUUGUUCAAUUCACAAUAUAUUGGUGUUGUCUAGUGCCUUCUAUAUAUGUGGGCAUACGGAAAACGCAGUCUCAACAUCCACAUACCCUGAAAGGAAAGGGGAAAACAAGAAAAGGGAAAGUAAAACAGAGACCUUUCCUUGCCUUGAACAAGAUCAAGGCAAAAUGUCAGGUUUGUUCCAAUGUGAAGUGGCCCCCUCAAAUCUUAUAACAUUACCAAAUUGAGAAGAUCAGGGUUAGUUGAAUAUGGUGCCUAUGAAAAUGUGUCGGCGUGGUUUGUUAAGUAUUCGAGUCAUCAGUUGUUCAGAAUAGAACAAGCUAGAGGAGAGAGCAAUAGAUUUUGCGUAGAUCAAUAUCAGUUGGCUGAAGUGGAAAAUCCAUUUUGAUCAUCAUUAGGUUACAAUUUUGGCCACAGAGAACGAGGGAAAAUUGAUGAUCCAGAUUCCUAGUAGGGGAAGCAAGCAAAGUAGAUUCUUUUAAAUCUUGGGUAUAUUAUUUAAUUGGUCAUUUUCAUGCUUUUGCAGGUUUCCCACUCCGACCAUAAAAAAAUGUGGGAUGUCUUCGUUUAUCCUCUUUUGAAUCUCAAACUAAUGAAGUUUUUUACCCUACGUUCGUGACAGUUUGUUCCUUCAAUAGUUUCUGUAGUUAAUCCUUUUUACAUAGUAACAUGGAAGUUUCUCAUCCUUGCCUUCUCUUGAAACUUNNN
rnacentral:lncRNA from 1 species